rnacentral:lncRNA from 1 species
UCCUGUAGCCUCCAUGCGAAAUGUAAUAUAGACCUGGGAGAAAGAGAAACAGUUCUUCAUGAAUAAGGUUUGUUUGACUGAACUGUCAAGACAAUGACUACUAUGCAUGUGCAGAUGUUCUUUUUGCUCCUUCCCUGCUACACUUUCUAUCCUUCCCUAGAUCUUCACAUUAUUACAUGUGAGAAGUUUAAAAAAAUGUAUGAAAAAUAACUCUAGGUCCCAAGGAUGUGAUUCAGUGUUAAAAAAUUCACUGAAUACAUGAACUUCUGGUUCUCUGCAACAGUAGAAAUUUUAGUCAAUUGGAAAAUAUAUUUACUUCUUCAAAAGGAGACUUAAUAGGUUCUCUGGCCUUGUGAAUGUAUAUAUAUCACAAACAUGAUAUUUUCAAUAGAACUCUUACAAAAUUUGAGGACAAGUGGAUAGCAUAUGAAAGUUGGAUUCCUUACUCAAAAGUACACAAGACAACAGUAAUAUCUGAGUUAAUCAAUGUCAUAAUGAGAACAAAUAUAACUAAGACAGGAGCAAAACAGCCAAAAGAAAAAUAUAUAAUAGCCAUUCAUAUAAGGUAUAAGCUUUUAAACUGUAACUUAGCCAUUCAAAUGUGUGUUACAAUAAAUAAGGGACUUAGAUAGAAUGAUAUUUGUCUAUCUAUCUAUCUAUCUAUCUAUCUAUUUUGGUUUAAUG